ensembl:lncRNA
UCCCAGACCUGUUUAUUUGCUAUCCUGGGCCCCAUCUGUGUUGGCAUCCUGGGCCCAUUUGGGUUCCAACUCCAUUCCCAUCUAGCUGUGAUCUCAAACCCGUUCCUUUGCAAUUCCAGAACAAUCUGGGUUGCAAUCACAGACCCACCAAGGAUUCACACCUGGGCCCAGCCGCAUUGCAACCCUGAAUUCAUCUGUGUUGCAACCCCAAACCCAUUCCUUUUGCAAACCCUACUCCAUUCCUGUUGCAAUCUCAGACCCAACAGGGAAGCCAGCCUGGGUCCAUCUACAUGGCAAUGCCAAAUCCAUUUAGGCUGCAACCCCAGAACCACUCCUGCUGGAAUCCUGGACCCACCUGGCUCAAAGUUUUGGACCUAUUUGGGCUGUAACCCCAGAUCUGUCUGGUUUGUAAUCCCAAUCCAAUUCCUCCUGCAAUCCCGGACCCAGCAGGGAUACAAACCUGGGUCCAUCCACAUUGCAAUUCCAGCUUCAUUUGAGCUGCAAUCCCAACCCCAUUCCUCUUGCAAUUCCCGCUUCAUUUCAGCUGCAAUCCCAGCCCCAUUCCUCUUGCAAUGUGGGACCCACCAGGGAUGCAAACCUGGGUCCAACCGCGUUGCAAUCCUCAAUCCCUCCGGUUUGCAAUCCCAUUCCCGUUCCUCCGGUAAUCCCAUUCCCACUCCUCUGGCAAUCCCAUUCCCGUUCCUCUGGCAAUCCCAUUCCCACUCCUCUGGCAAUCCCAUUCCCGUUCCUCUGGCAAUCCCAUUCCCAUUCCUCUGGCAAUCCCAUUCCCGUUCCUCUGGCAAUCCCAUUUCUGUUCCUCUGGCAAUCCCAUUCCCGUUCCUCUGGCCAUCCCAUUCCUGUUCCUCUGGCCAUCCCAUUCCCACUCCUCUGGCCAUCCCAUUCCCGUUCCUCUGGCCAUCCCAUUCCCGUUCCUCUGGCCAUCCCAUUCCCACUCCUCUGGCAAUCCCAUUCCCGUUCCUCUGGCCAUCCCAUUCCCACUCCUCUUGCAAUCCCAUUCCCGUUCCUGUGGCAAUCCCAUUCCCGUUCCUCUGGCAUUCCCAUUCUCGUUCCUCUGGCCAUCCCAUUCCCGUUCCUCUGGCCAUCCCAUUGCCGUUCCUCCGGCAAUCCCAUUUCCACUCCUCUGGCCAUCCCAUUCCCACUCCUCUGGCAAUCCCAUUGCCGUUCCUCCGGCAAUCCCAUUCCCACUCCUCUGGCUAUCCCAUUGCCGUUCCUGUGGCAAUCCCAUUCCCACUCCUCUGGCUAUCCCAUUCCCACUCCUCUGGCAAUCCCAUUCCCGUUCCUCGGGCAAUCCCAUUCCCACUCCUCUGGCUAUCCCAUUCCCACUCCUCUGGCAAUCCCAUUCCCGUUCCUCUGGCAAUCCCAUUCCCACUCCUCUGGCUAUCGCAUUGCCGUUCCUCUGGCCGUCCCAUUCCCACUCCUCUGGCCAUCCCAUUCCCACUCCUCUGGCCAUCCCAUUCCCACUCCUCUGGCAAUCCCAUUCCCGUUCCUCUGGCCAUCCCAUUGCCGUUCUUCUGGCAAUCCCAUUGCCGUUCUUCUGGCCAUCCCAUUCCCACUCCUCUGGCAUUCCCAUUCCCGUUCCUCUGGCCAUCCCAUUCCCACUCCUCUGGCAAUCCCAUUGCCUUUCCUCUGGCAAUCCCUUUCCCGUUCCUCCGGCAAUCCCAUUCCCACUCCUCCGGCCAUCCCAUUCCCGUUCCUCGGGCAAUCCCAUUCCCACUCCUCUGGCCAUCCCAUUCCCGUUCCUCUGGCAAUCCCAUUCCCACUCCUCUGGCCAUCCCAUUCCCGUUCCUCAGGCAAUCCCAGCCCCGCUCCAGCCGCGCUCCCGGCCCGGUUCAGCCCCGGUUCAGCCCCGGCCCGGCGGCUCCGCCCGCAGCCCCGCCCCGAGCCCUCCCCCGGGCCCGCCUGUCCCCCGGGCGAGCCGGGCGAUCCCUCCGGGGCAGGAGAGCCUUUCCCACUCCCCGAACGCCGCCCUUGGCUCAAUCCCUUCAGCCAGCCCAGCGUGUCCCGGGAUCGCUGCAAGGAGCCUCUCGGGGCCGGCCGGAGGGGCUGCGAUCCUCCCAGCCCCUCGGGAUGCGAGAGGAUGGCGGGGGAAGGGUUAAGCCCGUCCUGCCCGGUUGGGAAGCAGCCGGGCUGAAUCCCGCCGUGCUUUCGGGGGGUCGGGGGGGGUCACCUCUCCAUCACCCGGGGAUGCAAACCCCGGAGCGAUGCGGCCAGCCGAGCCCGGACCCCCCUGCAAGCGGCCCACAGCCCACAGGAAAUUCCUGGGAGUGUUUGGCCACUCCAACAGCGCUGCCUAUUUUUAGGGCUGUCUAA